GACGAACGCUGGCGGCGUGCUUAACACAUGCAAGUCGAACGGAAAGGCCCCUUCGGGGGUACUCGAGUGGCGAACAGGUGAGUAACACGUGAGUAACCUGCCCUUGACUUCGGGAUAACUUCAGGAAACUGGGGCCAAUACCGGAUAGGAAUCCUUGCUGCAUGGUGGGGGUUGGAAAGCUUCGGCGGUUUUGGAUGGACUCGCGGCUUAUCAGCUUGUUGGUGGGGUAGUGGCUUACCAAGGCUUUGACGGGUAGCCGGCCUGAGAGGGCGACCGGCCACAUUGGGACUGAGAUACGGCCCAGACUCCUACGGGAGGCAGCAGUGGGGAAUAUUGCACAAUGGGCGGAAGCCUGAUGCAGCAACGCCGCGUGCGGGAUGACGGCCUUCGGGUUGUAAACCGCUUUCAGCAGGGGCGAAGCUUGUGGUGACGGUACCUGCAGAAGAAGCACCGGCUAACUACGU
rnacentral:rRNA from 1 species